UAGACGCUGGCGGCAGGCCUAAACAUGCAAGUCGAGCGGAUGAAGGGAGCUUGCUCCUGGUUCAGCGGCGGACGGGUGAGUAAUGCCUAGGAAUCUGCCUGGUAGUGGGGGAUAACGUCCGGAAACGGGCGCUAAUACCGCAUACGUCCUGAGGGAGAAAGUGGGGGAUCUUCGGACCUCACGCUAUCAGAUGAGCCUAGGUCGGAUUAGCUAGUUGGUGGGGUAAAGGCCUACCAAGGCGACGAUCCGUAACUGGUCUGAGAGGAUGAUCAGUCACACUGGAACUGAGACACGGUCCAGACUCCUACGGGAGGCAGCAGUGGGGAAUAUUGGACAAUGGGCGAAAGCCUGAUCCAGCCAUGCCGCGUGUGUGAAGAAGGUCUUCGGAUUGUAAAGCACUUUAAGUUGGGAGGAAGGGCAGUAAAGUUAAUACCUUGCUGUUUUGACGUUACCAACAGAAUAAGCACCGGCUAACUUCGUGCCAGCAGCCCGCGGUAAUACGAAGGGUGCAAGCGUUAAUCGGAAUUACUGGGCGUAAAGCGCGCGUAGGUGGUUCAGCAAGUUGGAUGUGAAAUCCCCGGGCUCAACCUGGGAACUGCAUCCAAAACUACUGAGCUAGAGUACGGUAGAGGGUGGUGGAAUUUCCUGUGUAGCGGUGAAAUGCGUAGAUAUAGGAAGGAACACCAGUGGCGAAGGCGACCACCUGGACUGAUACUGACACUGAGGUGCGAAAGCGGGGGAGCAAAC
rnacentral:rRNA from 1 species